rnacentral:rRNA from 1 species
GACGAACGCUGGCGGCGUGCUUAACACAUGCAAGUCGAACGGAAAGGCCCUGCUUUUGUGGGGUGCUCGAGUGGCGAACGGGUGAGUAACACGUGAGUAACCUGCCCUUGACUUUGGGAUAACUUCAGGAAACUGGGGCUAAUACCGGAUAGGAGCUCCUGCUGCAUGGUGGGGGUUGGAAAGUUUCGGCGGUUGGGGAUGGACUGCGGGCUUUUAGGCUUGUUGGUGGGGUAGUGGCUUACCAAGGCUUUGACGGGUAGCCGGCCUGAGAGGGUGACCGGCCACAUUGGGACUGAGAUACGGCCCAGACUCCUACGGGAGGCAGCAGUGGGGAAUAUUGCACAAUGGGCGGAAGCCUGAUGCAGCAACGCCGCGUGCGGGAUGACGGCCUUCGGGUUGUAAACCGCUUUCGCCUGUGACGAAGCGUGAGUGACGGUAAUGGGUAAAGAAGCACCGGCUAACUACGUG